AGUGAACGCUGGCGGUAGACCUAACACAUGCAAGUCGAACGGCAGCACAGUAAGAGCUUGCUCUUACGGGUGGCGAGUGGCGGACGGUUGAGGAAUACAUCGGAAUCUACUUUUUCGUGGGGGAUAACGUAGGGAAACUUACGCUACUACCGCAUACGUCCUACGGGUGAAAGCAGGGGAUCUUCGGACCUUGCGCGAUUGAAUGAGCCGAGGUCGGAUUAGCUAGUUGGCGGGGUAAAGGACCACCAAGGCGACGAUCCGUAGCUGGUCUGAGCGGAUGAUCAGCCACACUGGAACUGAGACACGGUCCAGAAUCCUACGGGAGGCAGCAGUUGGGAAUAUUGGAGAAUGGGCGCAAGCCUGAUCCAGCCAUACCGCGUGGGGGAAGAAGGCCUUCGGGUUGUAAAGCCCUUUUGUUGGGAAAGAAAAGCAGCAGGUUAAUACCCCGCUGUUCUGACGGUACCCAAAUAAUAAGCACCGGCUAACUUCGUG
rnacentral:rRNA from 1 species